GUUUUUCUUAACAUAAAUUUCCUUGGUUAAUUACUUUCUAGACGUUGUAAAAGAUGGCUUUCUUUCCAUUGGUAGAAAUAACCAAUGUUUAUAUGCUUAUAAAUAUGUGGUUGUUUUUAAUUUAUAUCCGAAAAGAGAUAAGUAAUCCUAAAGUCCUUCAACAACAAAACCUCAAUUGUGCCCAAGAAUAUGUUUUUUUUUCUGUUUCACUCAAGUUCUUGAACGAUUGAAAAUACUCAAUGUGAUUCCAAAAUUAAUGUACAUGUGCCACGUAAGGGUGGACAUGGUUCCAAUCCUCAUAUUCUUGUCCCAAACCUAAGGCUUCAAUUCAUAAUAUUUAUGAACCAAAACCAUACCAGUCAAAUCGGUUAAUCAAUUGAUUCAUUUUUUUUUCAUUUUAGAAAAAUAAAGAGUAAAUCAAUGCAUAAACCCUUAAAACGGUUAACAUACCAUUGGAAUAUUUAGAAGUGAAGAUAAUUUUUUAUUAAUUAAUAGCCAACAUCAAAUAUUAAUCCAACAAAUCAAAUAUAAACACCGUUGAAAAUUAAUUAAAUGAAUAAAAAUAAAGUUAGUUUUACAUUAGUAG
rnacentral:misc_RNA from 1 species